rnacentral:rRNA from 1 species
AUGGCGCCCAGCAAGAGGAACUAUCCAUCGGGUAGCCACAAAAGGAAAAAAAAGGAGAAAGAGAAUAAACUUAUAAAGUCACAGCGCGGAGGUAUUCACAAUUUUUUCAUGCCAAGUGAUAUUGGUGCCUGUUCCGCCGACCCAGCUGAUGCGUUGGCGAUUGUUGCCAUUGUGGAAGAGCAACAAACAAAUGAAAACUCGGACUCUAAUCAGCAAGAAGAAAAUAUCAACUCCAACAUCGGCGAUGACAAUAUCUUCAAGUCUAGCACCAACAGGAGUCAGAGUUCCUUAGCACAUGAUGGACUAGGACAUUGGAGGCAUAUUAGUGAGAAGCUCAAAGAACAUGAAAAUAGCAUUGAGCAUAUUAAUAACAUGAACAAGUGGAAUGAAUUGAGAGUUAGACUGAGAAAACAUGAAACUAUUGAUAAGGAUUUGCAACAUCAAAUAACAAAGGAGAAAGAACGUGUCAGGCAAGUUCUGUUAAGAAUAAUAGCAGUUGUGAAAUGUCUUGGUAAACGCAACUUGGCUUUUCGUGGAAGUAGUGAGCAGCUUUACAAGGAUGAUAAUGGUAAUUUCUUAGCUUGCAUUGAGAUGAUUGCAGAAUUUGAUAUGGUAAUGCAAGAUCACCUUAGACGUGUUGAGAACAAGGAAACCCAUUAUCACUAUCUCAGUCAUAAAAUACAAAAUGAGCUGAUAUCUCUUUUGGCUUCUGACAUCACAUGUUCUAUCAUAAAGGUUGUUAAAGAGGCCAAGUAUUUCUCUGUUAUCCUAGAUUGUACCCCUGAUGUUAGUCAUCAAGAACAAAUGACCUUUUUAGUUCGAUGUGUUAAUCUGUCUGAUGGCAAAAUAAAAAUCGAGGAGUACUUUCUGGGGUUCUUGAAAGUGGAUGACACUUCUGGCUUAGGGAUUUUCAAAGUACUGCUUGAUUCUGUUGAGUCUUUUGGCCUAAAUAUUCAAGAUAUAAGGGGUCAAGGAUAUGAUAACGGUUCUAAUAUGAAAGGAAAAUGCCGAGGGGUACAAUCUAGGUUACUUGAUAUGAAUCCAAGAGCAUUAUAUAUGCCAUGUGCUUGUCAUAGCCUAAAUCUCACUCUCUGUGAUAUGGCAAAAUCAUGUGAGAAAGCUGUUUCAUUUUUUGGAAUUGUUCAACGCAUAUAUGUAUUAUUUGCUGGCUCUACAAAAAGGUGGAAUGUUUUGCUUAAACAUGUUCCUAGUUUGACUGUGAAAUCAUUGUCCAAUACUCGUUGGGAGAGUAGAAUCAAAAGUGUUACAGCAAUAAGAUAUCAAGCCGCUGAGUUAAGGUCAGCUUUGUCUGAGUUACGUCAUGCUUCUGACACUGAUCCUAAAGAUAAAAGUGAUGCCAAAAAUUUAUUUGAUGCACUUGGUCGCUUUGAGUUUAUAGUUGGUAUGAUUAUCUGGCAUGAUGUUCUAUUUGUUGUAAAUAAAGUUAGCAAGAUGUUGCAAUCGUCAACCAUGUGCAUUGACUCCGCUUUGAAGCAAAUAAAAGGUAUAACAAAAUAUUUUGAGAAGUACAGAGAUGAGGGGUUUUCUUCAAGUCUGACCAUCGCUAAAGGUAUUGCAACUGAAAUGGGAAUAGAGCCAUUGUUUCCAGUGAAACGUCAUGCUAAGAGGAAGAAACAGUAUGAUGAAAAUUUAAAGAACUCAUGGUCUUUAAAGAUAUAUUCGUUUUUACUGAGCUCGGGCACUCUCACGUCAUUAAGUGACAAUGAACUUGAAGAGUGUUGCACAAAAUUUGCAGAAACUUUCUCUCUUAAUGGUUCAUCUGAUGUUGAGGUAUACGAUCUUAUUUCUGAAUUGAAGAUUAUGAGAUUCACUUUGCCAGAUGGCGCAAUGUCUGCUAUGGAGAUUUUCAGGCAUGUCAGAGAAGUUGAUUGUUACCCCAAUAUAUCCAUUGCCUAUCGCAUCUUAUUUACUGUGCCUGUGACGGUCGCAUCGGCCGAGAGAAGCUUUUCAAAGUUGAAAUUAUUGAAGAAUUAUUUGAGGUCAACCGUGACUCAAGAGAGGUUAAAUGGUUUGGCCACAUUAUGCAUCGAGAAGAAAUUAUUGGAUGAGAUUGACAUCGACCCCAUCAUAAGUGACUUUGCAUCGAGGAAUGUUAGAAGAAAAUUUUAA